UACGUAGGGGGCUAGCGUUGUCCGGAUUUAUUGGGCGUAAAGAGCGUGUAGGCGGCCUGGUAGGUCUGCUGUGAAAACUCGAGGCUCAACCUCGAGAUGUCGGCGGAAACCAUCUGGCUAGAGUCCGGAAGAGGAGAGUGGAAUUCCUGGUGUAGCGGUGAAAUGCGCAGAUAUCAGGAAGAACACCUAUGGCGAAGGCGGCUCUCUGGGACGGUACUGACGCUGAGACGCGAAAGCGUGGGGAGCGAACAGG
rnacentral:rRNA from 1 species